CAAGAUACAUUACCUGUGAAGUGGUGAUAUGGUUAAAUCUCUGUUCUCACCCAAAUCUCAUGUUGAAUUGUAAUCCCCAAUGUUGGUUCAUGAAGUUUAAGGAAGGGAGGCAUCUCCAUUACAUAAAAGUGCAAGGUGCAGUAGCAAGUACAGAUGUAGAAGCUGCAGCAAGUGAUCCAGAAGAUCUAGCUAAGACAAUUGAUAAACAUGGC
rnacentral:lncRNA from 10 species